GACGAACGCUGGCGGCGUGCUUAACACAUGCAAGUCGAACGGAAAGGCCCUGCUUUUGUGGGGUGCUCGAGUGGCGAACGGGUGAGUAACACGUGAGUAACCUGCCCUUUACUUUGGGAUAACUUCAGGAAACUGGGGCUAAUACCGGAUAGGAGCUCCUGCUGCAUGGUGGGGGUUGGAAAGUUUCGGCGGUUGGGGAUGGACUCGCGGCUUAUCAGCUUGUUGGUGGGGUAGUGGCUUACCAAGGCUUUGACGGGUAGCCGGCCUGAGAGGGUGACCGGCCACAUUGGGACUGAGAUACGGCCCAGACUACUACGGGAGGCAGCAGUGGGGAAUAUUGCACAAUGGGCGGAAGCCUGAUGCAGCAACGCCGCGUGCGGGAUGACGGCCUUCGGGUUGUAAACCGCUUUCGCCUGUGACGAAGCGUGAGUGACGGUAAUGGGUAAAGAAGCACCGGCUAACUACGUG
rnacentral:rRNA from 1 species